rnacentral:rRNA from 1 species
UUUAAAUAGCCGCAGUAUUUUGACUGUGCGAAGGUAGCAUAAUCAUUUGUCUUUUAAUUGAAGGCUUGUAUGAAUGGUUUGAUGAGGGAAUGACUUUCUUUACACUAAAUGUUGAAUUUAAUUUUUCAGUCAAAAAGCUGAAAUUUUUUAAAGGGACGAGAAGACCCUAUAGAAUUUUACUUUUCUUGUAAUUAUAAAUAUUUGGUAAAUAUUAAUUUUUAAUUACAAUGAAAGUUUUGUUGGGGUGACAUUAGGAUUUAAAAAACUCCUAUAUUAUAUAACUUGUUAAUUUACAUUAUAAAGAUCCUUAAUUUUGGAUAAUUAGAUUAAAUUACCUUAGGGAUAACAGCGUAAUUUUUCUGGAGAGUUCAUAUCGAUAGAUAAGUUUGCGACCUCGAUGUUGGAUUAAAAUUAGAUUUAAGUGCAGAAGCUUAAU